rnacentral:misc_RNA from 1 species
UCGAGUUUUUAACUCUUAAACCAUUUGUGAACUUACCUUCUGGCUGCUUUGGCAGGUCCUUCGGGAUUUGCCGGUAGCACAAACAAACUCUUCAUAUUUCUAGAGAAUUAUUCAUUGCUGAGUGGCAUUAACUAAAUAAGUUA